rnacentral:rRNA from 1 species
GAUGAACGCUGGCGGCGUGCCUAACACAUGCAAGUCGAGCGAAGCACUUACUUUAGAUUUCUUCGGAAUGACGAAGUUUGUGACUGAGCGGCGGACGGGUGAGUAACGCGUGGGCAACCUGCCCUGUACAGGGGGAUAACAGUUAGAAAUGACUGCUAAUACCGCAUAAGCCCACAGCUUCGCAUGAAGCAGUGGGAAAAACUCCGGUGGUACAGGAUGGGCCCGCGUCUGAUUAGCUAGUUGGUAAGGUAACGGCUUACCAAGGCGACGAUCAGUAGCCGACCUGAGAGGGUGACCGGCCACAUUGGGAAGGAGACACGGCCCAAACUCCUACGGGAGGCAGCAGUGGGGAAUAUUGCACAAUGGGGGAAAACCUGAUGCAGCGACGCCGCGUGAGCGAUGAAGUAUUUCGGUAUGUAAAGCGCUAUCAGCAGGGAAGAAAGUGACGGUACCUGACUAAGAAGCCCCGGCUAACUACG